GGGGAUUUAGCUCAGCGGUAGAGCACUUGCCUAGUAAGCGCAAGGCCCUGGGUUCGGUCCCCAGCUCCG
rnacentral:tRNA from 1 species